GGCCUAACACAUGCAAGUCGAACGAUGAUGCCCAGCUUGCUGGGUGGAUUAGUGGCGAACGGGUGAGUAACACGUGAGUAACCUGCCCCUGACUCUGGGAUAAGCGUUGGAAACGACGUCUAAUACUGGAUAUGACUACUGGCCGCAUGGUCUGGUGGUGGAAAGAUUUUUUGGUUGGGGAUGGACUCGCGGCCUAUCAGCUUGUUGGUGAGGUAAUGGCUCACCAAGGCGACGACGGGUAGCCGGCCUGAGAGGGUGACCGGCCACACUGGGACUGAGACACGGCCCAGACUCCUACGGGAGGCAGCAGUGGGGAAUAUUGCACAAUGGGCGAAAGCCUGAUGCAGCAACGCCGCGUGAGGGAUGACGGCCUUCGGGUUGUAAACCUCUUUUAGUAGGGAAGAAGCGAAAGUGACGGUACCUGCAGAAAAAGCACCGGCUAACUACGUGCCAGCAGCCGCGGUAAUACGUAGGGUGCAAGCGUUGUCCGGAAUUAUUGGGCGUAAAGAGCUCGUAGGCGGUUUGUCGCGUCUGCUGUGAAAUCCCGAGGCUCAACCUCGGGCUUGCAGUGGGUACGGGCAGACUAGAGUGCGGUAGGGGAGAUUGGAAUUCCUGGUGUAGCGGUGGAAUGCGCAGAUAUCAGGAGGAACACCGAUGGCGAAGGCAGAUCUCUGGGCCGUAACUGACGCUGAGGAGCGAAAGCAUGGGGAGCGAACAGGAUUAGAUACCCUGGUAGUCCAUGCCGUANACGUUGGGCGCUAGAUGUAGGGACCUUUCCACGGUUUCUGUGUCGUAGCUAACGCAUUAAGCGCCCCGCCUGGGGAGUACGGCCGCAAGGCUAAAACUCAAAGGAAUUUGACGGGGGCCCGCACAAGCGGC
rnacentral:rRNA from 1 species